AGUAUGGCUCAGUUGGUAGAGCAGCGCAUUCGUAAUGCACAGGUCGUCGGUUCGAGUCCGACUACU
rnacentral:tRNA from 1 species